GAUGAACGCUGGCGGCGUGCCUAAUACAUGCAAGUCGAGCGAACAGACGAGGAGCUUGCUCCUCUGACGUUAGCGGCGGACGGGUGAGUAACACGUGGAUAACCUACCUAUAAGACUGGGAUAACUUCGGGAAACCGGAGCUAAUACCGGAUAAUAUAUUGAACCGCAUGGUUCAAUAGUGAAAGACGGUUUUGCUGUCACUUAUAGAUGGAUCCGCGCCGCAUUAGCUAGUUGGUAAGGUAACGGCUUACCAAGGCGACGAUGCGUAGCCGACCUGAGAGGGUGAUCGGCCACACUGGAACUGAGGCACGGUCCAGACUCCUACGGGAGGCAGCAGUAGGGAAUCUUCCACAAUGGGCGAAAGCUUGACGGAGCGACGCCGCGUGAGUGAUGAAGGUCUUCGGAUCGUAAAACUCUGUUAUUAGGGAAGAACAAAUGUGUAAGUAACUAUGCACGUCUUGACGGUACCUAAUCAGAAAGCCACGGCUAACUACGUG
rnacentral:rRNA from 1 species